GUAGGUUCUCACUUCUAUCUCACUGAUUCCCAGUGAGAUAAAUGAAGACAGAUUCUUCUCCUGGGUUCAUGUCAAUGUUUUCUCUGUCAGUGUGAACUAGAAGCAGCUCCACAGAGAUGAAAACAGCCGCAGAGACUCUGAGCGGAGCUAACGAUGCUAACGAUGCUAACAGGCUCAGGCAGCAGCUUCAGAGGAGCUGUGGCUCCUAAACUGGAGCUUCAGCUCCAACAGAGCUGAAUCAAAGCUCUACAACUCUGGUUUAGACGAUAAGAUGCUGAGCUUCCGGUCUGAAGAUCAGCCUCCAUUUUGAGCUGCAGGAUGGAAAUAACUUGCUGACUUGUUACUAGAGUCCAGAAGAUGGAAGAUCAGGACAGAGCAGAACCUCCAGGACCCAUCAGUCCAUCUAUGAGGAGUGACCGGUCCAAAGAUGAUCCUCCAAACUUCAGUAAUGAACCUGGACCAUCAGACAGAAAGAGCUGUGAGUGUGAAGAAAGACCCAGAACAGGAGCUGAACGGCCGACAGCCAAUCAGAGCAGCUGUU